AUUGAACGCUGGCGGCACGUUUUAAGCAUGCAAGUCGAAUGGUAAAUAGGGGCAACUCUAUGAGAAUGGCGAACGGGUGAGUAACACGUAGGUGAUCUGCUUUGUAGUUGGGGAUAGCUUGUGGAAACACAAGGUAAUACCGGAUAAGCUGUACGACUUCUGGGUUGUAUAGGAAAGGGGCUUCGGCCUCGCUAUAAAAGGAGCCUGCGGCUGAUUAGCUAGUUGGUGAGGUAAGAGCUCACCAAGGCGACGAUCAGUAGCCGGCCUGAGAGGGUGUACGGCCACACUGGGACUGAGAAACGGCCCAGACUCCUACGGGAGGCAGCAGCUAAGAAUCUUCCGCAAUGGGCGCAAGCCUGACGGAGCGAUGCCGCGUGAACGAUGAAGGUAGAGAUAUUGUAAAGUUCUUUUAUGAGUGAGGAAUAAGGCUGGUAGGUAAUGAUCGGCUGAUGACGUUAGCUCAUGAAUAAGCCCCGGCCAAUUACGUGCCAGCCGCCGCCGUAAGAC
rnacentral:rRNA from 1 species